rnacentral:misc_RNA from 1 species
CCAGAACCGUUUAACCGGCUACGAAUCUGUACUCGUGAAGAAAAUGAAAAAAAAUAUUAUAAAACCUGCGAAUUAUACAAUCUUAAUUCUUGGCAACAAGCUUGUUCUCUACAACCAAUCACUCCACUUCCAGUCCUGGGCCAUCUCCAUUCAAAAUAUAAGUAUCAUAUUAUUGUUUCUUUUUUAUAUAUUUUUUUUCAUCAUUCAACAAUAUUCCUUUGUAUUCGUUUUUUUCAGUUUCAAAGAAGAAAUAAUUUUUGGAUAUAAGAUUCUUCAGUUCAGUGCAAACUUGCAAUCUUGUUUCAUAAUAAAAAUAACUCUUUCUGCUGAUACAAAAUUUUCUAUUUUAAUGGACAUCGAUGGAACACAUUUAAAUAUCUUCUAACCGAGAUUUCAUAUUACCAAAUGAUUUACUGUCAAGUGGUUAUUAUGGUAGCUACACAAAGUAUUGACACAUACCUUCAUUUUCCAAUGAAGUGUCUCUUUUCCAGAUUCUACGUUUCAUUUUCACAGUAUCAAAUCUUUGCAGUCAUACAAUAAUACUACUACAAGAAUAAAUUACAACUUGAAUGAAUUAGUAUGUAAAUGCUGUAAUAAAAAAAUUAGUAUGCCAAUAUUCGUUGCAACCACUGUAUAUGCUGUAUGUGCUGUUGCAACCACUGUAUCAGGGACAAAGUUAAUCCACAAUGGGAAUGACAUACAUCGGAUUAUAAAAAUUGUUGUGUAUUUCAAUGUUUACGUCAGAUACAUAAACUUCUAACACUAUACUAUAUCGAACCUUGAAACGUCUCAUCAGACUAGUCGACUUGUUCAAGCUUAGCUUCUUCUGUUUAAUAGAAAAUUCAGUCCUCAAUGUAUUAUAAUGGUUAUGAU